AUUAGAUCAGCAGAUAUAGGUAGAAAAACAAACAACCUUUUGGACUCAGUGUCCCUUACUGACCUCUUUUUUUUUUUCCUUAUAUCCUUAGACUGCUGCAGUUAUGAAAACAGUAUACCUAUGACAUGAAGUGAUUUUUUUUUAUCAGAUACUCUCUGCCUGUAUAAGUUACAUUAUCAAAUCAGAAGAUAAAGCCAUGUUCCAUGAAAAAGGGGAACCAGUGCGCAGUCUUAAAGAGGAGAUUUUUUUCAAGUAGCAGACUGCAAAUCAGCCUUGCCAGGCCAAUAUCGAUACACAAGGGUGUUGAGGCUGAGCAUCAGGGGAGCCAUGGGACACUGUGGGAAGACCGCGGGAGAGACAGGGAGCCUUUUCGCGCAAAGGGGGACAGAGCUCUGGGGCUGCUCCACCUGGCUCUGUGCCACGGCCAUGAAGGAGGAAGAUGCCCCUUGAAAAGAGCAAUGUUUAUACUGCAAAAAGAGCCACCAUAGUAUCCGUUAUCCCUGCCUGCCCAGCUUCUCAGACGAAUAUCACUUAAGGCAGCAAGAGGCAAUUCAGCUGAAGAAAUGAAAGCAAGACUAGUCUUCUUGCAGAAAGUAGACAUUUUGCAAAAACAAAUGGAGCAGAGAGAAGACUGGCUGUCUGUGACUGAAACGACCAUGACAGGACAAUCUCUCAGUACAUCAGAUGGAUAAAAUAACAGCAGACUUCUCUGUGGAAAUCUGAUUGAAACACACUCAUAUGAGGCGCCUGGGUUUUUCUCAGAGAAUGGAAAUUAAGAUUGCAGUAACUUUUUUAUACCUGUUCAAAUACGUUCCAGUCCUCCAUUUUUUUUCCCAGUAAGGAGACAGAGAGGCUUGGACAUGUCCUGUUGCUUUCAGAUGCGGUUUGGAAUUGCUGAAUAUUUCACAAGAAGCAAUUUUUCUGGGGAUAAUGCCUGCAACUUGGGCUGAAAUUGUAUCAGUGCCUGUGGCAUUUCAGAACCAGAGAAGGCCAGAGUGCCACACAGCAAGCUACUUACUGCUGUCACCAGGCAGCAGAACAAAAAUCUUUUAUGCCACCCUAUUGUUCGGCAGUAAAUAGGAGCCUCUGGGGAAGGGAAAAAGUAGCUUUUUUUUCCUGCUAAUGGAUUUUCCUCUGGAGUAAUCAAUUCAGUUUUGGAUGACUCCCAAAGGAUAAUUUUUCUCCCUUUUCCAAGAAUCUGAAUCUCCAUUCAGGAUGUGGAAGUAUUAUAACUGUGGACUUAUUUUUAUAAAAAGGAUAACUACAGAUUUCAUCACUGGCUUGUCUCUGAGAACUGCAGUUGACUUUUUGAAUCAUAGAUGCAAACAAUACAAAAAGAUCUGUUCCAUAUGUUGUUCUGCUCAGUACGGUAGUUUGGCGGAGUCCAUUUGCAAUGAAUGAUGCUUAGGAAAGAAACAAAACCUGAAGUGUCAUGUAAAGAAAUGAUGAACUUGGGGAUAAAACACAAAGCUAAAGCUCAGGUGCUUUUGAAUUCAGGGACAGACACCAUCGAAUACAUUGUAUGUGAUUGUGAAUUCCUCCUCAAAUGGCAGUGAACAACCCUUUUCAGGGUAAACAGGCUUCGAGUUAGAUUUCCAGAGCUACCUCCCUGCCUCACACUAUUCAAACCUAGGCAUUUGAAAUUGGUCUUGACAGCCAACUUCAUCUUUAAGCUCCCAAGCACCUUUCAAAAAUAUCCCCUUCAGCCCCUCUCUGACUCAUUUCUCCCAUCCUUCCUGUUCCUCUCUAUUAAAAUCUAGGCCUAUCUCUUUUAAAGUAUUUGUAUGGAAUAGGGCGUGGGGGAGGUUAAUCUCAGUUGAGGAGUUUAAGUACUAUUGUACUUAAAAGUACUACUCAUUAUUUCUCAUCUCAUUUUCACUCCCUUAAGAUACUUUGUUUCCGUUCUCUACUGAUUUUUAGUUCUCAAGAGAGACAGCUCUUUUUUAAGGCAUUAACUAGCUUGUUUUCCAGCUUAGGUUGUCUAAAUGCACAGGCUUCUGCUUUGUAAGACAGUCUCAUACAGCAGUUAUUCUGGCAUACCAAUUUGAGAUCUUUGAUGUGGGCAACUGAUUUCUCCCAUGUCUCUGCAUGCUGCCCAAGAUAGGGCAGUGACUGUCUGUGACUCCGGAAUGCUGUUUCAAAUGAUUAAUUCAUGCCUCACACUCAAGAACACACAAAAUAUCAUGAGGAACUUUUGCGUACAGGAAAACAAUAUCUCUAGAUAUUUGUGUUCAAGAUUUGAUUUGUAUAAAUGACAUUUUGCAUGCAAAUAUACAGCCAGCCAUUUCACUGCCUGCCAGGAGGCAUUUGAGCUAAACACAAUGAAGCUCCACUUAAUCCAAAAUGUCAUGUUCUCAUGUGCACCUAGCACAAAGGUUAUCACACACACAUCAGAAAGUAAACAAACUUAAAUUAUUUGGCAAAUAAUUAGCAUCACUGAAUUUUUGCCGUUUUCUUCCUGUGGUUGAAAUAAAUAAUGUCAAGGAAUAUGACUCCCA
ensembl:lncRNA